rnacentral:rRNA from 1 species
UGCAGUCGAACGAUGAAGCCUUUCGGGGUGGAUUAGUGGCGAACGGGUGAGUAACACGUGGGCAAUCUGCCCUUCACUCUGGGACAAGCCCUGGAAACGGGGUCUAAUACCGGAUAACACUCUGUCCUGCAUGGGACGGGGUUAAAAGCUCCGGCGGUGAAGGAUGAGCCCGCGGCCUAUCAGCUUGUUGGUGGGGUAAUGGCCUACCAAGGCGACGACGGGUAGCCGGCCUGAGAGGGCGACCGGCCACACUGGGACUGAGACACGGCCCAGACUCCUACGGGAGGCAGCAGUGGGGAAUAUUGCACAAUGGGCGAAAGCCUGAUGCAGCGACGCCGCGUGAGGGAUGACGGCCUUCGGGUUGUAAACCUCUUUCAGCAGGGAAGAAGCGAAAGUGACGGUACCUGCAGAAGAAGCGCCGGCUAACUACGUGCCAGCAGCCGCGGUAAUACGUAGGGCGCAAGCGUUGUCCGGAAUUAUUGGGCGUAAAGAGCUCGUAGGCGGCUUGUCACGUCGGAUGUGAAAGCCCGGGGCUUAACCCCGGGUCUGCAUUCGAUACGGGCUAGCUAGAGUGUGGUAGGGGAGAUCGGAAUUCCUGGUGUAGC